rnacentral:rRNA from 1 species
GACGUAGGGGGCAAGCGUUGUCCGGAGUUACUGGGCGUAAAGCGCACGCAGGCGGUCUCUUAAGUUUGGAGUGACAGUUGGUGGCUUAACUGCCAAAGUGCUUCGAAAACUGAGAGACUUGAGGGCUUCAGAGGGACACGGAAUUCCGGGUGGAGUGGUGAAAUGCGUAGAGAUCCGGAGGAACACCAAAGGCGAAGGCAGUGUCCUGGGGAGUACCUGACGCUCAGGUGCGAAAGCCAGGGGAGCGAACGGG